rnacentral:misc_RNA from 1 species
GAUGAAGAACGUAGCGAAAUGCGAUAAGUAAUGUGAAUUGCAGAAUUCAGUGAAUCAUCGAAUCUUUGAACGCACAUUGCGCCCGCGAGUAUUCUCGCGGGCAUGCCUGUCCGAGCGUCAUUUCAACCCUCAGGGCCCGCCUGCUUGCAGGCGCGGCGCUGGUGUUGGGGAACGGCUACCCUGCCGUCCCCCAAAUACAGUGGCGGUCUCGCUGCAGCCUCCCCUGCGUAGUAGCAACACUCGCAUGCGGAGCGCGGCGCGGCCACGCCGUAAAACCCCCGACUUUCUGAACGUUGACCUCGGAUCAGGUAGGAAUACCCGCUGAACUUAAGCAUAUCAAUAAGCGGAGGA